rnacentral:rRNA from 1 species
CGGCGAGUGAAGCGGGACCAGCUCAAAUUUGGAAUCAAUAUCUCAUAGAGAGAUUGAAUUGUAGUUUAGAGAAGCGAGUAAUUCCGGUAAAUGGCAAGCGGCCCAAGUCCCAUUGAAGAGGGCAUCAAAGAGGGUGUUAAUCCCGUCCAGAGCCGCUUAAAAAAGCCAAUAACCAAAUGCGAUGCGCUUUCCAAGAGUCGGUUUGUUUGGGAAUGCAGACCAAAAAGGGUGGUAAACACCAUCUAAAGCUAAAUAUAGGCGAGAGACCGAUAGCGAACAAGUACCGUGAGGGAAAGAUGAAAAGCACUUUGAAAAGAGAGUCAAAAGCACGUGAAAUUGUCAAAAGGGAGACGCUUGGGAGCAGUAGUGGCGAAAAAGGAGGAGAGGUUCAUAAGAUGUAGUAAUGUGGAGUAAAAACCAUAAACUGAUUUUAGCAUUCCAAUUCCUCCCUCUCCAGUCAGAAUCAGUUUAGAAUGUGUGAAAAGCAAUGAGUUUAGCAUCAGGUAGCGCAAUUUUUAACAGAAUAGUGUGAUAUAGAAGCAAGAACCCAAUUGAUUUGCAAGCAUUGACUAGACUGAGGAAAGCAGAGUCGCGAGUGCCAAGUGUAGGAAAAUGUUAGUUGGAAUGGAGUAUGUGACUGCAAGUCAGAUGCAAGCAUCAUUAACCCUAACAAACAAUUCAACAAAUGGACACCAAU